rfam:Paenibacillus sp. DMB20 gs_32, whole genome shotgun sequence.
AAGAGCCGUAUGAAUCGAGAGGUUCACGUACGGUUCUGUGAGAGCCUGAAGGUGAAACCCCUUCGGGCUACUCGACUGGAAGGUCGGCUACUCAAC